GAAGACUCUGUGGAACUGGUUUUGGGCAGAAAAGCCAUGCUUCAUUUGGUCACAAAGGACGUUGAUCUAACUUUUGACCCACUGGACCAAUUUGUAUGAUUUUGACGUAUGUUGGUAUUUGGAGUAUGCUGAUUCUGAAAAAUGUAAGUUUUAUGUGAGUGUAUUUUCCUGCCUGUGAUAAUUAUAUUAACCCAUUGUGUAAGGUAAUUGUAUCACAGGCAGAGGGGAGGAUUUUGUGUGGGAGUGUCUGAGUGUAUUGUACAUGUUUAUUGGUUGUUUUACAAAACCCUGUGGGUGGUACUAAUGUGUAGGAAUGUGUAUAUAAGAACAAUAAAUCCACAGUUCAGUCAGUUCUACUUCACCCUCAAUUUGGAGUGUCGUCUCUUAUUGGGGGAACCUGCUACAAGGGAUUGCUAUGCUCUGCAUACUCUCUUGCUAUAUUUACUGCUAAUCUCUUGUAAAAGCUUGUUCCUGUUUUUGCUCUGUGAAGGAGUCUACGGUUGCUAUGGUGUCUGCUGGAGUGCUGGAAACCCUCAGGAAGCGCUAGGAGCAUACUUCAACGGAGGUGCCCAGUCGGGGUGCCAGGUGAUCCGUUACAAGGGGGAUACAGUAGGUAGUGGUGAG